UACAGAGGGGGCAAGCGUUGUUUGGAAUUACUGGGCGUAAAGGGCGCGUAGGCGGCCUUCUAAGUCAUGCGUGAAAUCCCCGGGCUCAACCCGGGAACUGCGUCUGAUACUGGAAGGCUUGAAUCCGGGAGAGAGAUGCGGAAUUCCAGGUGUAGCGGUGAAAUGCGUAGAUAUCUGGAGGAACACCGGUGGCGAAGGCGGCAUCCUGGACCGGUAUUGACGCUGAGGCGCGAAAGCCAGGGGAGCAAACGGG
rnacentral:rRNA from 1 species